rnacentral:lncRNA from 1 species
UAAGUUUUUACCUCUGAGGAAGUGUGCAGAUAAGGGGUGAAGAAAGAAUUUUUUAAAUAUUUAUUUAUUUACUUGUUUAUUUUUAAAGAUUUAUUUAUUUAUUUAUUCAUGAUAGAGAGAGAGAGAGAGAGUGAGAGACCCAGGCAGAGGGAGAAGCAGGCUGCAUGCCGGGAGCCCGACAUGGGACUCGACCCCGGGACCCCAGGAUCACGCCAAAGGCAGGCACUGAACCGCUGAGCCACCCGGGAAUCCCCAUGAAGAAAUAUUUAUAUACCAUUGUUUGUCGACAAAAGAGAGAGAGAUCAAAACACGUAUUUAAAAAUGGCCCUUAUUACGGAUUGCUGUGUGACUUCUUUCUGUGCUAGGAAUUUGAAUGAAAUCUUCUUUUUUAAAGCCAUGCCAGGGGUAAUUAUGCCAGGGUUAUUUAAUAGCGGAACACCGUGCCUGCGACUCCCACCAGCUGAAGUCCACCCCAGUAGGGAUGCUUCGCCGAGCAUAAUACAGACCAGUCCACAUCUUGAGUACCGGCUAGAUCGUUCCUGGGUAAUUGGGGGCUGCUGAAUCUUUUAAGGACAUAGCGCUGUUCCUUCGCUCAGCUUCAUCCUCAUCAUUCAGUGAAAACUAAACCAUCUGUUGUAAUGAAUGUAAGGCUUCCUGCUCUCAGUUCUAUCUUCUGAUUCCCCCACUAAAUGCUGGUUGUCACUUUCAAUUUAAAAAAACAUCAUUAUGCUUUCCAAUUCCUCCUUUAGGAUUUUCCCAUGAGGAUCUCAAAGCACUUCGUGCGUUCAAGGGAAGCAUUGCAAUUUGUCCGGGGAAUCCAGUCGUGGCAUCAGCUCCAUUUUAUAGACUGGACAAAUGGAGAUUCCAGAGGGUUUCAGAAUUCUGUACACCCAUCAUUUUGAAGAAGCCUCUCUACUCUCCAUUCAAGACGGUCCAGGACACAUUGUCUGGAGACAGUGCAGUAGCCUCACCUUCUGAGUUCGCAGCCCAUGAGAUGCUGUCGCCCAUGGUUCCCUCAGACCCCAAGGAGCACCAUUCAUUCCACUUAGGUUCUGUGAAAACAGAAAUCUGGGGCAAUCUGGGGCAUACCUGGAUCUUGAGCACCGAAUCCAACUCACUGUUUUUAGGAAAAAUGUAACCUCUCUAUCACAUUUAGAUGUUAGCCUCACAAAUGAGUGAGAAUAUGUCAAAGAACAAGACAAAUAGAGGCUUCACUGUGCAAGCACACACUUCCGAUUUGUUGAUAAAACAAACUUUUCAUUCCAAAAGACCAAAUGCCACUCUUCUUUAUUUGAAGAAUUUAUUAAUGUGGCUUCUACUCUAAAUACGGCCGCUCAAAAGAAACCUUCUUAGGUUCUGGUUUGCCCUUUUUAUUGACAGAUUCAGAUCUCCACUAUAUCAGGCCUAUAUCUUAAGUCUCUUUGUUAGGGACCAGCAAUAAAUUACCUGAGGUCAAGUUCUGUUUAUACA